rnacentral:lncRNA from 1 species
GAAAUAUUGACUCAGAAGGGGGUUAGAAGUCCAAAAAAUGUGAGUUUGGUUUGUUUAAUUUUGGGUUAGCCCCACUCAUUGCACCUGGUGGUUUUCCUGCUCUGUAAACAACAAAUUUAUCAGGUGCUCUUAAUGCAGCUGAGCUUCUGCUGGAGCUUUGAGCCAGUUCUGAGGCAGCAGUGCCCCUUUGGAUGAAGAAGCAGAAGCAGCAUCAUCCAGGAAACACCAAGGGGGAUCAGAGUAGCUUGAUCAUUUCCUCAACCAGAGAAAUCCCAUCUGGAGGUCUGCAAGCACAAUUCAGUUUCUCUGCCAGCUCACCCCUCGACCUUCUGCCGAGAAUGACAUUAUAACACCAGCUCUGGUGACAGUUUGGGAUGUGGAUAUUUAUCCACUGAAGCUCUGGACCAAACCCAGCAAUUCCCUGCAUCCAGAGGAUAAAAGGUGCCACUGGGCAGCUCUGACUUUCAGCCUUUGCUGUCUGGGGUCAGCAGGGAGCCAGUGACCUUUCCACAGAUGACACCAUGGCCUGUCAGAGAACUCUCAUUUAAAAUACUCCUCUAAAAUUGAUAAAGAUACACCCUAAUCACUAAUCAAAGAACAGCUUUAAUGCCUCGAAAAUAUGGAGCAAGCUGCAGCAUCAGAAUAAAUUAGAACUGAUUUUGAGCA